UACGAAGGGUGCAAGCGUUACUCGGAAUUACUGGGCGUAAAGCGUGCGUAGGUGGUUCGUUAAGUCUGAUGUGAAAGCCCUGGGCUCAACCUGGGAAUGGCAUUGGAAACUGGCGACCUAGAGUGCGGUAGAGGGUAGUGGAAUUCCCAGUGUAGAGGUGAAAUUCGUAGAUAUUGGGAAGAACACCGGUGGCGAAGGCGGCCAACUGGACCACAACUGACGCUGAGGCGCGAAAGCGUGGGGAGCAAACAGG
rnacentral:rRNA from 1 species